rnacentral:rRNA from 1 species
GAUGAACGCUGGCGGCGUGCCUAAUACAUGCAAGUCGAGCGAACAGACGAGGAGCUUGCUCCUCUGACGUUAGCGGCGGACGGGUGAGUAACACGUGGAUAACCUACCUAUAAGACUGGGAUAACUUCGGGAAACCGGAGCUAAUACCGGAUAAUAUAUUGAACCGCAUGGUUCAAUAGUGAAAGACGGUUUUGCUGUCACUUAUAGAUGGAUCCGCGCCGCAUUAGCUAGUUGUUAAGGUAACGGCUUACCAAGGCGACGAUGCGUAGCCGACCUGAGAGGGUGAUAGGCCACACGGGAACUGAGACACGGUCCAGACGCCUACGGGAGGCAGCAGUAGGGAAUCUUCCGCAAUGGGCGAAAGCCUGACGGAGCAACGCCGCGUGAGUGAUGAAGGUCUUCGGAUCGUAAAACUCUGUUAUUAGGGAAGAACAAAUGUGUAAGUAACUAUGCACGUCUUGACGGUACCUAAUCAGAAAGCCACGGCUAACUACGUG